CCUACGGGAGGCAGCAGUGAGGAAUAUUGGUCAAUGGGCGCGAGCCUGAACCAGCCAAGUCGCGUGAGGGAAGACGGUCCUAUGGUUUGUAAACCUCUUUUGUCGGGGAGCAAAAGACGCCACGCGUGGCGUUCCGAGCGUACCCGAAGAAAAAGCAUCGGCUAACUCCGGUCCAGCAGACGAGGUAAUACGGGGGAUGCGAGCGUUAUCCGGAUUUAUUGGGUUUAAAGGGUGCGCAGGCGGAAGCUCAAGUCAGCGGUAAAAUUGAGAGGCUCAACCUCUUCGAGCCGUUGAAACUGGUUUUCUUGAGUGAGCUAGAAGUAUGCGGAAUGCGUGGUGGAGCGGUGAAAUGCAUAGAUAUCACGCAGAACUCCGAUUGCGAAGGCAGCAUACCGGCGCUCAACUGACGCUCAUGCACGAAAGUGUGGGUAGCGAACAGGAUUAGAUACCCGAGUAGUC
rnacentral:rRNA from 1 species